rnacentral:misc_RNA from 1 species
GAUGAAGAACGUAGCGAAAUGCGAUAAGUAAUGUGAAUUGCAGAAUUCAGUGAAUCAUCGAAUCUUUGAACGCACAUUGCGCCCCUUGGUAUUCCGAGGGGCAUGCCUGUUCGAGCGUCAUUAUAACCCUUCAAGCUCAGCUUGGUGUUGGGGCCUGCUGUAACUGGUAGCCCUUAAAAUCAGUGGCAGUGCUAUGAGGCUCUAAGCGUAGUAAUUCUUCUCGCUAUAGUGUGUAGUGAGCGCUUGCCAGAACCCCAAACUUUUAUAUGAUUGACCUCGGAUCAGGUAGGGAUACCCGCUGAACUUAAGCAUAUCAAUAAGCGGAGGA